UACGUAGGCAGCAAGCGUUGUUCGGAAUUACUGGGCGUAAAGAGUGUGUAGGCGGUGUUCUAAGUUUGGUGUGAAAUCUCCCGGCUCAACUGGGAGGGUGCGCCGAAAACUGGAAUGCUAGAGUAUGGGAGAGGUAAGCGGAAUUCCUAGUGUAGCGGUGAAAUGCGUAGAUAUCAGGAGGAACACCUGUGGUGUAGACAGCUUACUGGACCAUCACUGACGCUGAGACACGAAAGCGUGGGUAGCAAACAGG
rnacentral:rRNA from 1 species